CAAAGGCUACUUAAAUUAAAAACGUGACGCUAUGGAGCAAACUGCUGUGGCGCCCAAGCCGCACGUGCCUAGUCCCCAAAAUCCCGAAUUAAAUGAGUGAUCGGCAAAGAACUGCACGUUCUUGUGUGGUACUCCAGUGCGAAAACUGUUUAUUGUAUUCUUUCUUUUUUAUUUCAAUGGAGGCGUUAAUGGAUCGUGAUAACUGCUGGUGAGUGGGAAGAGAGACGGCAGCAGUCACGAGCCUGGUGGUAAUCUGAUUUUGGAGCAGACAUUUAAGAAUCAUGUGCUGGUAGUGAUUCAAAUACACGCAAGUAAUGAGCAGGAUUUUUUCGGUAGAU